ACCUAAGAGAUUUGGCGGUACUCGUUACUUAUUAGAGAAAUUUGCUUUAAAAAAUCGAUAAUCCCCGAAAAAUCUUACUUCUAUUAGUAUAAAUAAGUUUGUAUACCGUCAUAGAUGUGAUUUCUAAAGAUUAUAAAUCAUUUAAUUAGCUUAGUUAAGCAAGACAUUAGAUCAAGGUGCAGCUAAUAUAGGAGGUUAGAGUGAAUUGCAGUAUAGUUUUAUAGGAUUGUUUGGAAAAAAAGUUGAAAAUGAUUUCGAAAUUGGAUUUAAUAGUAAUAAUAUUUUAAUAAGAUAUUUUGAUCAUAGUUCUGGAGUAUGU
rnacentral:rRNA from 1 species